rnacentral:lncRNA from 1 species
AGGCAGCAGCUCUUCAAAAACUCCUCCAGAUAUGGGUCCGUACCAUGGGGUCAAUCCCUCAGGAACAAACUGCUCCACCCUGGGUUCCCCAUUGGCAGCAGCUCCUGCCAGGUCACCUGCUCCUGCAUGGUCUCUUCUCCACAGGCUACAGGUCCGGCCUGGAAUCUGCUCCAGCAGGGGUCUUCCACAAGCCGCAACCUCCGUCAGUGCAGGUCCACCUACUCUACCAUGGUACUCCAUGGGCUGCAGGGGGACAGCCUGUUUCUCCCUGGUCCUCACUACAGGCCACUGGGGAGCUUCUUCUCCAGUGCCUGGAGCACCUCUCCUCCUCCUCUUUCACUGACCUUGGCACCUACAAGGUUGUUUCCCACUCCUCUCACUCACCCAGCUUUUUUCUUUUUCUUUUUUUUUUUUUUUUCUUCCUUGUCUUAAAUAUGCUCUCACAGAGGUGCAAACAACAUCUCUUAUUGGCUCGUCUCUGGUUGGCAGUGGGGCCCUUACCUAACAUGGGGCAGCUUCUAGAUUCUUCUCACAGAAGCCACCCCUAUAGCCCCCUGCUACCAAAACCUUGCCACGUAAAUCCACUACAGGCAUCCACAACUUCUAAGGGCAACUUGUUCCAGUGCCUCACCAUUCACACAGUAAAUAAUUUCUUCUUUAUAUCUAACCUAAAUCUUCACUCAUUUAGUUUAAAGCCAUUACUCCUUGUCCUAUCACUGCAUCUCCUGAUAAAGAGUCCCUCCCCAGCUUUCCUGCAGGCCCUCUUUAGGUAUUGGAAUGCUACUAUACUGUCCCCCCACAGCCUUCUCUUCUCCGGGCUGAACAACCCCAACUCUCUCAGCCUGUCUUCACAGGAGAGGUGCUCCAGCCCCUUGAGUAUCUUUGUGGCCUUCCUCUGGAGUCAUUCUAAUACUUCCACGUCCUUCUUUUGCUGGGGGCUCCGGAGCUGAACACUUUACUCCAGGGGGGUGUCCCAUAAGGGCAGAGUAGAAGGGGACAAUCACUUCCCUCAACCUGCUGUCCGUGGUUCUUCUGAUUUUCCCAAGGAUACAGUUGGCUUUCUGGGCUGCAAGUGUACA